UACGUAGGGGGCUAGCGCUGUCCGGAAUCAUUGGGCGUAAAGCGCGUGUAGGCGGCCCGGUAAGUCCGCUGUGAAAGUCGGGGGCUCAACCCUCGAAUGCCGGUGGAUACUGUCGGGCUAGAGUGCGGAAGAGGCGAGUGGAAUUCCUGGUGUAGCGGUGAAAUGCGUAGAGAUGGGGGAGAACACUCGUGGCGAAGGCGGCCAGCUGGACCAGUACUGACGCUGAGACGCGAAAGCGUGGGGAGCAAACAGG
rnacentral:rRNA from 1 species